rnacentral:tRNA from 1 species
GAGGGUAUAGCUCAAUGGUAGAGUGUGUGUCUAGCAUGUAUGAGGUCUUGGGUUCAUUCCCCAGUACCUCCA